ACUCAACAAGAUAGCUCAGUCGGUAGAGCAUGAGACUCUUAAACUUAAGUUCAUGAGUUCAAGCCUCACGUUGGGCA